AUAUGUGUAGUGAUGGCUAAGUCUACUGGGUAUAAUUAAGCCCAAAUUCAGUUUGAGAGAGUUAUCUGUACAAGAAGCUCAGAAUUGCAACCUUACCAUCAUUUUCAUAACUCCUACAAAUGCAGAUGCUUGUGCUUUCUCUAGCCCAAAUGCAGCUUUUGGAAACAGUGGAUGCAUUUGUGCGAGAGAUAAGACAGAGGGAAAGUAAUUGAUGUGCAGAAUGCAACUGGUUAUUUUUGAAGUACAAACUUUAAGUUGGGGAUUAUGUGCUGUCAAGAAAGGUUAUCAGUUUGAUCAAAUUCAAAUUUGGGGAUCCGAGUAUUGUGGAAGGGACAAUAGUGAAAAUGAAAAUGGAAAUAAUUCUUUUUAUAGUCCCCAGUAUUCAACAUGACUUAUAAUGGAUAGUGAUAUCAGAUAUGUAUAUGCUUGUGAAGGUACAUGACUCUCAUGAUCCCUUGAGGAUACAAUCCUCUAAUUUAGAGAAAGUUUCUUUCGGCUUUACUGUUGGAGAUUGGGUUCGGCUGCAAAGGUCAAGUUUGCAGGGUUCAAGUUCUGGGAAGUGUCACAUCGUCCACGUCAGUCAUUUCCUCGUUAGACGGCUGGGCCGGAAGGGCAAAUAAAAGCAAUUAAAUGUUCUCAAUAAGGAGAGGAUGGAGAGGUCUGUCCCGAAAAGGAAGCGGUUAAAUCACACAAAAUGGUAGUCUACGGUUUUCAAAAAUCAAAUAUUCAGAGUUAAAAUCUUCAUGUUCAUACUGUAUUUUGCCGUUCUAAAAGUUUGUCGGAGUGCCAUUUUGUGUAGAGAUUAGUUUGUACCUCCUCAAAAUCGUGCUAAUCCCCAAUGUUGUGUGGAGCUGAACACCUAUUCGCUGCGAGCUUCUCCCUCUGCAGGAGCCCUCUCUUCGCAUUAAUCGCCUGCAAAAAGGGACGGCGGAAGGGCAUGCAUUAAGGGGGAUUUAAUAGCUUGAAUGAAAGCCCCUGACCCGUUUUUUAGAUUGUACGCAGAGAGGAGACCCGAAGGGCGGGCCGGGGCCAGGAGUCAGGGUGGAAGCAUGGAGGCACAAUAAUUGUUGGAGGGAAGAAGUCCCUCAAAGAAAUGCCAUGGAAUGAAAUAAUUGCAGGAUAUGCACAGUAUGGUCUCAUUGAACGCAAUGAUUGCAGGAUAUGCGCAGUAUAGUGGUUUAUGGAAGAAGCUUUCAGGAUUUUGAAAGAAAUGCCUCAAGAAAUGUGGUCUCGUGGGUUACCAUUGUUGCAGGGUAUGCACAAAACGGAUUUGUUUAAAAGAUUUUGAAACUUUUAGGCAAAAUGCAAAUUGCAAGUCUAAAGCCAGACACCACAACCCUCGCCGGCAUCCUUCCUGCUAGGUAACGCAAUGAGAGCUUUUGAAGAGGUUAGGGACGCCCAUCAAAGCAUAAUAAAAUGGCGCGAGAAAGGGUGUUCUGUCAGAGUGUUGGAUGCCCAUUGAAGCAGAGAGGAUAGAGGAAUUUCGAGAGAGAGGGAUGUGCAGGUGCGUUGAGAAGCUGUGGAGAAUCCCUCUGCAAAUCGUCUGCAAGGUUUUAUGCAAUAGAAGUAAACAUCUCUAGAAUAGAUUUAAUGGCUUCUUCAGCGGGUCAAUGCCAGUUUUGAUAUACUAACCCUCGUCGAAGGUUUUGCAUCUCAGAAAUCUUUCAUGGGAAUUCAUGGAGGAGGAGCUCGUGGAGCUCUGUAAACCCUUUGGCAAAAUCGUCACCACUAAAUGCAACGUGGGAGCCAACCACAAUCAGGCCUUCGUUGAAUUUGUGAUCGAUCACCAAACUUCUAUAGUUCCAAGAAUCAGUUCGCUGUGUAAUAUAAUCAUCUUCCAGUCCAUUGCAAAUGAACACAUCAUUAAGUGGAUCCAAUAUGGUAUAUUCUGCAAAAGUAUGUUGAUGUGUAUGUGUUUAAUUGGGCCUUUGAAGCAUAUUCAUUCAUGUCAGAGUACAGUUGGCAUAAUGGUGCAGUCCUUUGCUUAGCAAUUGAAGCCCAUGGAUAGGUGACAACAUUUUGUGAAGUGUAGUAGAUUAGCACCUUUUGAAUUGUAUUCAGUCCAUCCUUAAAUAUGAACUCCUUAGUACCAUGUGCUAAGUAUAUUUGAACCAUAGCAAAUUCUUAUUGUGUUUCUACAAAUAUUGCUUGUAUACUAAAAAUGUUGUGGGCAAAUUCUUGGUAGGAUCUAUUUGAAAAGGUCCAGAUUUGGAGGAAAUGCAAAUUUUUUUUGAGUGUAUUACCUUUCAAAACCAUAAUUCUUCAUUGUUUGUCAAUUGUAGUUUUGUAAGACUUCCUACUGACUUGAGUUGAGAAUGUAGCCUUUCAAUAAAUUUUGUAAUUCUGUGCAGUUUGAUAUAGAGGGAGGGAAUGACCCACUUAGCUUGUCACUAUAGUUAUAGUUUAUUUAUUUUAUCAAAUUUAGAUAGAAUCAAUUCCUCUAAAUUCAGCGUUUUGUGACUUAUAAUAUUGUAUGAAACAUCUUUGAGAAAGGAAAUGUUGUAUAAAGAUGAGGGAAUAUUUCUUACGAGUUGAUUUCUAAAAAGAUUUAGCCAUUCUAGAGAAGAGAUAUUAAACAGAAAAGGGAAUGUUUUUUUGGAGUUGAUUCUUAGAAAGAGAGCUAUCACAAGUAGACAACUUGGAGAAGAGAGAUUACUUGAGUAAGAGGGGGUAUGCUUCUAUUCAAUUGGUUGAAAGCAAGUUAAACCCCACUAGGGUUGGUUAGCCUAUUGAGCAUAAAAAUAGUACUAAGGAUGGUUUCACCUACCAAAUUGUUUUCUUAUAAGUCAAGGAAAGAAAAGACACCUUGCAAAAUGACAAUGACAUGUUCCACUAAAGCUAUACCCACCUAAGCGCGAUGGUUAUGUGAGAAAAAUCUUAAUAUGUUGUAAGAGAGGUCUAUGCCUGUAAGAAACAAGAGUUUGCACAAGCAAUGCGAUAUGAUGGUCUUCAACUGAUUGAGUGUUAUCACAUUGCUUCUAGCAUAUAUCAUCUUAGAGGCGACAAUCUCUUCCUUGCUCCCAUGAACUUAGAUAGUGAUGGGAGUCAUUUAAAUGAGCUUUGAAAAUUUGAAGAGCUUGGCUUACUCAAUAUAUCUAUGGUAAAAGUGAAGAAGAAACAAUUAGAUACGAAAAUAAGAAUAGCUUGGCUAUGAGAGUUUGGGUUUAUCAACUUGUGAUUUGGCAAGGUAAUGAGAAGGAAAACAAUGUAAAAGAGAUGAGGUGUUAACACAAGGUACACGGUUGUGAAAUAACCACAAUUCAUGUGUUAAAUACUCUACAUAAUUUUCUCAUUACUUUCUAUACAAGUGGGACAACAUGCACACGUUCCGACACAUUUCACACCUUAUCUACAUGGAUGGUCAUAGAACUGAUAUAUUCACUUCUAUUAUGCAUUUAUUAUUCAUAUCUAUACAUUCAUUGCAUAGAUUCAUUAUCCACCCUAAUCUCAACAUUCUUGUAUUAGGGACCAAAUAAUAUAGGGGUGCAAUAUCAAUCCUGCACUUGCAGAUUAGAUGUCUAAUUUUUUAAAAUUUAAAUAUAAAUUUAGGCAUUACCUGUUCUUUUCUCACCUAAAUCUAACUAAACAUAUGUUUGUGUGAUAAAAUGCGAUGUACUUCCACAUUUAAAGACAUUUAUCUGUCAUUAUAAUUAAUUAAUCACAAUACAAAUUUCACAAUAAUAAUGAACAAUAAAUUGUUCGAUCCAUAAAUUCAUAAUA